CCUACGGGCGGCAGCAGUGAGGAAUAUUGGUCAAUGGACGAGAGUCUGAACCAGCCAAGUAGCGUGAAGGAUGACUGCCCUAUGGGUUGUAAACUUCUUUUAUAAAGGAAUAAAACGAGGCACGUGUGCCUUUUUGCAUGUACUUUAUGAAUAAGGAUCGGCUAACUCCGUGCCAGCAGCCGCGGUAAUACGGAGGAUCCGAGCGUUAUCCGGAGUUAUUGGGUUUAAAGGGAGCGUAGACGGGUUGUUAAGUCAGUUGUGAAAGUUUGCGGCUCAACCGUAAAAUUGCAAUUGAUACUGGCAGUCUAGAGUACAGUUGAGGUAGGCGGAAUUCGUGGUGUAGCGGUGAAAUGCUUAGAUAUCACGAAGAACCCCGAUUGCGAAGGCAGCUUACUAAACUGUGACUGACAUUGAUGCUCGAAAGUGUGGGUAUCAAACAGGAUUAGAUACCCUAGUAGUC
rnacentral:rRNA from 1 species